rnacentral:rRNA from 1 species
UACGAAGGGGGCUAGCGUUGCUCGGAAUCACUGGGCGUAAAGCGCACGUAGGCGGAUUUUUAAGUCAGGGGUGAAAUCCUGGAGCUCAACUCCAGAACUGCCUUUGAUACUGGGAAUCUCGAGUCCGGGAGAGGUGAGUGGAACUCCGAGUGUAGAGGUGAAAUUCGUAGAUAUUCGGAAGAACACCAGUGGCGGAGGCGGCUCACUGGCCCGGUAUUGACGCUGAGGAGCGAAAGCCAGGGGAGCAAACGGG